rnacentral:rRNA from 1 species
CAUUGACCUCGGAUCAGGUAGGGAUACCCGCUGAACUUAAGCAUAUCAAUAAGCGGAGGAAAAGAAACCAACAGGGAUUGCCUCAGUAACGGCGAGUGAAGCGGCAUCAGCUCAAAUUUGAAAUCUGGCCCUUUCGGGGUCCGAGUUGUAAUUUGUAGAGAGUGCUUCGGGUGAGACCGCGGUCUAAGUCCAUUGGAACAUGGCGUCAUAGAGGGUGAGAAUCCCGUAUGUGACUGUGGUUCGAACCCGUGUGAAGCCUCUUCGACGAGUCGAGUUGUUUGGGAAUGCAGCUCAAAAUGGGUGGUAAAUUUCAUCUAAAGCUAAAUACUGGCUGGAGACCGAUAGCGCACAAGUAGAGUGAUCGAAAGAUGAAAAGCACUUUGGAAAGAGAGUCAAACAGUACGUGAAAUUGUUGAAA